UAACCUUCUCAUCUGCAACCACCACCCUUUCAUAAUGGUCCUCAAAUCCCCCAGGCUCCACCUCCAGACAUACAAUCACUCCAGUUCCUUAGCAGCAACCCUCAACUGGGGCACCAGACUACGGAUCAAGGCCAGUACACCAUUCCAGUCUGGGAUUUCCUGUGAUGUAUAAUAUGUGGCUUAUGCCAACGUAGCAGCGUAUUUGUAAAUUAUGUAAUAGCCAAUAAUGUAGAAACAGCUCUGGGUUGCUCAACAUGCUUAUGUAAAUGAAA